GUGAACACUUGCAUAUGGAGCUGCAUUGAUUCAACAACUGAUAAUACCCAAGAUGCCAAGGAAGGCAUGAAAACCUUUCUUCCAUUGCCUAUAAGUUUAUGCCUGAACAGCCUCUCCAGAGGGCUUUCCAGCCAUCUAUGUCUGGUUUUGGAGUACAUAGGAACCACAAUAAAGAGGGAGGAUGAUCUCAUUUCAGUUCUGUUGGUGGAAUGACUCUAAAGGCAUAAUUUCAAGUUGUGUCAUUCAUUGGCCAUUGCAGAUGAAGAUAUCACCUCCAUCUCCAAAUAUAUAAAACAUGCUGUGCAUGGAGGAAUGGAGAAUCAUAGAAUCAUAGAAUUGGAAG